UGUCACACGCACUAAAAAUGACUCUGGUGAAUUGACAUGAGAAAAGAUUGAGGGGGGGGGGGGGGGACGUGACGACCUGCAAAUGCACCUUUCUAUCUUCUCCAACAGCAGCUGCGCUCAAUGCGACCUGCAGAUUCAUAAAACUUGAAAACCCCGCCUCCUUGACAGCCAGCGUCUGUUUACGAAAAGUCAGAAGGAACAGCAUGGAGCGAAACAAGAUACGUAGGAAAUUUGGGCUCCCAAGGGGAAAACAACCAGGUCAGAGAUACCCAGUACGAUGCCAAAAGUAGUCGCCCAAACGGAAGUGAUAGGCUCUGACCCCCCGCGACAUUCCAGCUUUGUGACUGUUUAGGGCUUCUAUUUUGGUGUGCCGUGGGAUUCUAAACGCGCGACCCGCGGGGAUUUUGCUUCUAAAGGUCACCCACAACCGAUUUAAAAAAACAAAAAACAAUGGCGAGGCGUAAAAGGCGCAAUCUACUGAUUUGCUGCGUUUUUAAACCCCGUGGAAAAGUGCACAGAAACCAUUCCCGGCUUUGCGAAAACCCGGGGGGGGCCCCAUGCAGCGAUCGGAGGGGGACAGGAAAGCCCAAACCCAGAACCCAAGGGCCCCUGGAAUUUUAAAGAGCUUUAAAGUCAUUUGGGCCCGAGGGUUUUGGAGAGGCAGAGAGGGAGGAUAGAGGAGCUGGAGCAGCAAGUGUCCGACUUGUGCAUUGAGAACGCCUGUCUGAAGGAGCAGUACCAGCGGCACCUGGCAACCUGCAGGCUGCUCACACUGGGAGCCAUAAAGGAGCAUAUCACACAGGAAAAGUCUGAAUGUGACUCUUCCAGAAUGGUCAGGAGACAUGCCUCCCUACCUGUCGAAGUCACAGAGGUUCCUGGGAGGUUAGUGACUGCAGGCUGCAGAAGAGUCGUCCCCUGCCGCAAAUGGAAGUCGGCUUCCUUUGGGUACAGUAAGAUGCUAUUUUUAUGACUGUGUCUUACGUCCUUAAUGCUUGCCACAUAAG